AUGCUCUGCCCCGGACAUCGGCAGACCUGCGUCAACCCACCUACGGCGAGGAAAAAGGAAGACGGAGGAGCGGACGCAUCCGGAUCGGCACACUCCUACGCCAGCGGCAGGUUAUGCGACCGCAUCGAGGCCACCCAUCCCUCCUACCGAGCUCCCCGCCGAACACGAGGAAAUAGGGAGAAGGAGGAACAGACGCAUCUGGACCAGCACACCCUGUGCUGGCUACAAGUGACGCGACCGCAUCGAGGCCACCCGUCCCUCGUACCAAGCUCCCCAUCAAGCACACCCUCAAGUCACCCUACCAUGGCAGCCGACACACUGAAGGAAAUAUGCCCUAGAGGCAAUAAGAAAAUUAUUUUAUAUUUCCUCAUUCAUGAUAAAGAUUUAUUAUUCAUGCUAGAAUUGUAUUGA
rnacentral:rRNA from 1 species